CUUAUAUCUAUCUAUCUAUCUAUCUAAGCAAGCGGGGGAGUGACGAAUCAGGCAGAUUUCAGAAUUCAGGACUAGAAUUAUUGCGAGCUAGUUGCUAUAGCUAGCUUCCAUAAUGGAGCAACCUAUUCCGGUGAAAGAGGUUAAAAUCCUCGAAACCGCCGAGGAUAUUCAGGAGAGAAGAGAACAAGUACUUAAUAGGUAUCAUGAAUUUAAGGUGUCAGCUCGCCAGAGGCGUGAGAAACUCGAGGACAGCAGAAGGCAAGUUUUUUUUAUUUUCAUUUUUAUGAAGAAAAAGCUUAAUAU